rnacentral:rRNA from 1 species
GUUAGCCUACGGGGGGCAGCAGUGAGGAAUAUUGGUCAAUGGGCGCGAGCCUGAACCAGCCAAGUCGCGUGAGGGAAGACGGUGCUAUGGAUUGUAAUCCUCUUUUGUCGGGGAGCAAAAGACGCCACGCGUGGCGUUCCGAGAGUACCCGAAGAAAAAGCAUCGGCUAACUCCGUGCCAGCAGCCGCGGUAAUACGGAGGAUGCGAGCGUUCUCCGGAUUUAUUGGGUUUAAAGGGUGCGCAGGCGGAAGAUCAAGUCAGCGGUAAAAUUGAGAGGCUCAACCUCUUAGAGCCGUUGAACCUGG